AGAUGACUGAACUCAGGGCUCCGGGAGGCGAGGACCAAGGAACCCAGAGCAAAGCCCUCAAAACUUUUAUGCGAAGGGAGAACACUUUCAAGCAUUGCUCAUGGACUCAACACAGCCAAACAAAACAAACUGGAAAAGGAAAAUCAGUGGCCAGAGUGUAGCCAAAGAACAGGAAUCCCCAGCUCACUGCCAGCUCGAUCUUCUGAACUAACGUCACAGGCGUCACACCAGGUACUCACAGCAGUGCAGACGAAGACUCACAACGAGGCCCUCCCCUCCGCAGACACGCAGACUGAGAGCCCAGGCGGUGCUGAGCGGCACAAAGGGUUUGCGUGGAGCCCGUCAUCCUUGAGAAGGUGACGCACUCUCCCAGCCUUGAGAGGUGGAUCGAGGAGGGGGGAGGCAGUCAGAGUGUGUGCGAGGUGCGUGGAGGCGAGCAGUGUUGCAACCCCUCCAGCUCAUCCUCGACAAAGCCGUGUGUGCCCACCACGAGGUGUAGCCGGCCAUAAAGCUGGCGUGUCAGAGGGAACUGUGGCCAGCCAGGGUCGCAAUCAAGGCCUAAACAGCAUGGGCAGCACAGGCAGUUCCCAUGGCCAGCUGGGGGACAGUGGCCUCCACCCUGGGAGCAAUGCAGAGGCCACAAGCCGAGCUGUUGUUACUCUUACAGCAUCUUUCCAGGCAGCGUGUGGGAGUCGGUGAGCGUUGCCCGUGUUGUCAGCUAUUGAGGCCUUUGUACAAAGAUCGUGGAUCAGGCUGCCUAAGCUCUGACUCGGAGACCAGCCACUGCUGCCUGCUCCGUGCACCCUGAACCCGUGGCCUUGCCCCACCUCUUGUUAUUGCCCACCUUAUUCCUUUCCCUCACUGCUCCCCUUGGUGCUGGUCCGUGGUCAGGAGCCCCCACAGCCUGCCCCAACCUUACUUCCCUGGUUCUAUUCAAACAUCCAGACUUAUCCCUUGUCUCAGAAGCCAAUCUUUGACACUAAGUGUCAGUCUAGCUAAGUCUGGGAGGCCGGUCUCACAAAGUCAACCUGCCAGUGCGAUGAUGGAGGAUGACACUGGAUGAGUUACUCCCUCCAGGUAAGAGUUCAUAUUUUUAUUCAUUUAAUUUCUUUGCUGGGGAAGAGUCGCCCUGAGCUAACAUCUUCUCCCAAUCUUCCUCUCUUUCUCUACUUUUCCAUCCCCAAAGCCCCAGUACCUGGUUGUAUAUUCUAGCUGUAAGUCGCUCUAGUUCUUCUGUGAGCCACUGCCACAGCAUGGCUACUGACAGACGGGUGGCAUAGGUCCACACCCAGGAGCCAAACCCAGGCCCCCAAACUGGAGCUGCCAAACUCACCCACUAGGCCAUCAGGGCUGGCUCAAGGGUCUGUAUUGUGACUAAGUCUCCAGGGCGGGCAGUCUUUUACCCCAAAGAGGGACCGGUACUUGGGAAUGUUGUCGCAGCAUCCCUCUCCUUGCGUCCUGGCCAGAACCAGGCACCCAGGCUGGGCUCCUGCUGUUCAGCUCAGCCCCUCGCCCAGUCCAGCUGGGUGCCCGUGUCUAUCUCCACACCCGUGUGUGAGCCCUGGGGGGCAGCGCCCAGCAGGAACCUGCAGUUGCAGAGCUCAGUGAAAGUCGGCUUGAACUCACUCUUUCAACAAAUUUUUGUUGAACUCCAACUGGGAGCAAAUACUGCUGCCUCUGGGAACCAAAGGGGACCUGCUCUGAAGAAGCCACUCCGCCGUGUGCGAGACGGUCAUGCUUUCUGCUUUGACGGGUUUACAUCCAAGCGAGAGAAGAGACGGUCCAGACGUAGGAGUGGAAUUGCUGGCACACGGGGCAGAGGCAUCUUCAGUUAAAAUGGUUGAUGAGUGAUACUGUUCUUACCAACAGCUUUCUGUUCUUUAUAACCAUUUAUAUACUUAUUCUUCUUCUCAUUAUUAUUUAAAAAAUUUCCACCAAUGACUCAUAAAUGAGAAGCAAGUUUGCAUCGCACACUCCAGUACUGCAUAAAUAUUUCCCAGUUACCUUCCUUCCCUUCAAAGGACGAGGCGCCUCAUUUAGCCAGUCUCUGCCCAUCUGGAAUCCAUCCACAUCUGCUAGGGCCUCAUGCGCUCAGCUGGGAGCUGAGUCUUGAGAAGGGUCUGGGGACGAGUCUGCUAAGAACGUAGGGAUUCCCAGGAAGGGAGUAUCCGGUGGUGUCACGACUAGUCUCACAUGUUAAGAGAGCACAUGGACAAAAAUGUGUCCAUGAUUUAUGUUUCUUGACAUAAACUUCACAAUUCAGAAGUUAUAAGCCCAAAGCACACGUGGAGGAGAGGCUGCAGCAGUACUGCCCCCAAAAUGCUACCACUGACCAAAACAGUUCUUCAAAAUCACUCAAUUUUUGCAGCGUUAGUCUAUUUCAUAGCCAUUUGAUAUGUAACAUAGAAGGAUAAAGCACUUUUUAGGGGUUAGUGUUGUUUUAGGUUCUUUAAAUUCAUUAGACCUCUUGACCUUUACUAUAGGCUUUAGGGCGAGGUACCAUUUACAUCCUUUCUACAGAUGAGGGUACGGAUGCUGGGGCUGGGUGGAGGUAAGGAAUCCGCUCAAGAGGAUGCAGCCAGGAAAUGCAGAGGCAGGAUUUCAGACCUACUCUCCUGGGCCCUGGAGCCCCUGGUGUCACAGAGAGAUGACACAGAUUUUCACUUCAAAAAAUACACAAAACCCAUUCCUGCCCAAAGUGGUAACUUGAAUCUCAUCAAGAGAAACCAAACCAAAUCAAGGGACAUCCUUCAAAACAACUGAAAUACGCUCUUCAAAAGUAUCGAUGCACAAAAGACAAGAGCUGAGGAAGUGCUCCUGAUAGAAGGACGCUGAGGAGAUUUGACAGCUAAAGGUCACAUGUCAUACUGGAUUGGGGGAAGAUGCUGUAAAAAGGUUACAGGGACAAUGGGCAAAAUUGAGCACAGAAUGUAUUUUAGCUAAUAGUAUUAAAUCAACAUUAAAUUUCCUGAAUUUAAUCACAGUCAUUAUGAUUAUGAAGGAAACAUCCUUGCUCUUAGGAGAAAUAUUUCUUUAAUGAUUAGGCAUACCGAUUACUCCUAAUAUACCUAUGGAUUACUUGUUGUUUUUAAGAUUGGCACCUGAGCUAACAACUUGCCAAUCAUUUUUUUUUUUGGCUUUUUCUCUCCAAAUUCCCCCAGUAGAUAGUUGUAUAUUUUUAGUUGUGGGUCCUUCUGGUUGUGGCACGUGGGACACCGCCUCAGCAUGGCCUGAUGAGUGGUGCCAUGUCUGCAUCCAGGAUCUGAACCAGCAAAACCUUGGGCUGCCAAAGCAGAGCAUGCAAACUUAACCAUUCGGCCACAGGGCCGGCUCCUUGUUAUUCUUUUUAAAUGACUAUCCUAUUGUUAUCUUUUGGCAAUUUAAAAAUGAAGGUAUGGUAUGAAUAGAUUGAUUUCAAUUUGUUUUUUUUUAAUUAUUUUAUUGAAGUCAUAUCUACUCGUGUAAAUCUCAGGUGUACAUUAUUAUAACUCAGUUUCUGUAUAGACUGCAUCGUGUUCACCAUCAAUAAUCUAGUUUUUAUCUGUUACCGUACAUAUGUGUCCCUUUACCCCUUUUGCCCUUCCCCCACCCCCUUCCCCUCUGGUAACCACUGAUCUGUUCUCUUAUCCCUGUGUUAGUUUCUCUUCUGCAUAUGAGUGAAAUCGUAGAGUGUUUGUUUAAUACCCUCAAAGUCCAUCCAUGGUGCAAAUGGCACAAUUUUGUUUGUUCAUGGCUGAGUAGUAUUCCACUGUAUAAAUAUACCACAUCUUCUUCAUCUGUUCAUCAGUUGAUAGGCACUUGGGUGGCUUCCACAUCUUGGCUGUUGUGAAUGGUGCUGCAAUGAACAUAGGGGUGCAUAAGUCUCUUUGAGUUGUUGAUUUCAAGUUCUGUGGAUGACAAUUUGGUUUUUUUCAAGUGGAAUUUAUUGCAUGCAUACUGAAUGGUUCAUGGAGUCAAGGAAAGAACUGGAACAACCAGGGUAGGGGAAAAAGGAAGUGGCAUUAGAUGACGCCAUUUCUAAGGAUCUGGUGGGCUUCUUCAGGGUGAGCGCCCCAGCCCCUUAAUCACUAAUUGUUCUCUGUAAGGGCUGGGACAACCCCACCUCAUUAAAUGCCGAUUACACUCUUAGUUUCCUAACAUGGCGUGUGUCCCUAAAUUCAAAAUGUCAAGUUACAUUAAAAAUGCAUGAGCUUGCUUUAAUUUAAAGCCUACAGCCUUUGACUAAUUUGGGGGUGAAAGGGAGAAAGUCCCAUUGCAAAAUUUCAAAUUAAAUUGCUGAGGUUGGGGAAGCAGGGAAGGAGCACCCAAGAGCCUGUGGAUAUAAUCUUUUGAGACUCAGCCUGAGGAGGACUCUUCCGUGAGGCCCUCUCAGGUGCUCAGCUUGCCCAGAGCCCCUCCUGGGUGGUCCAGCAGCUCUUCUGUGGCACUUACUGAGUCAUCUUGUCAGGGGCCGUCUGGGUGUGCGUCUCCCCGUGACUGUACGUGUAACAAGGAAAGUCUCUGGCACUUAUUUCCUUUGGCUUUCAGGGCCUGACUUAGUGCCUGGCAUGGAGGGGGAAGCCAUAAAUAUUUAAGUUAAACUAAAUUUCUUUUAAAAAAUAGCUUGUCCAGAGGCCUCCUGUGUCUCUGCCUAGAUCUAAGAGUCAGGGUCUGAGGACUCCGCCGGCCACCGUGCUCACCGCUGUGUUUUAGACAGAAUUCUAAUAAGCUCAUCUGAUGUCCUGCCUGCAGUAAGAACAAGAACUUGGAACAAAGAAAGAGGGAAUGUAGUCUGCUCCUGGAAGAGAACGUUCACAGCAGCACUAAGGAAAAUCCUAAUGGAGACGAGGGGAAGAAAGUCAGGAACAGCGUGAGAGUCUGGAAAUAGGGACCCUGGUUGACAUCUCUUAAGGACCCUGCUGAUUCACCAAAAGACGGGGGGACCGUGCACCACGGGCUCUGGUGCAGAGGCAGAGAAGGGUACAGUCUUCUCAAAGGUUAAAAGAAAAUGUUAUGGAACAUUUAAAUUGGUUCUUUUUGGACAUGUCACCGUGUCCAAAGUGUAACAGAUGGGAGCUGCUGUGCGUUUUCAUUAAUCGUUGUUUUCGUGAACGUUCGGACGGUCCCUGCUUCUAAUUUUAAAGCAGACGAACAGAACAUUCUGUAUUUCUAAAAGAUCCCACCAAACGUGAAUUACUUUUGUGGCCCUCGACCAAGUUUUGUCAGAAAUAAAACCUGACUCUCCUCAGGCAGCUUUGUGACUCCCCAGGAAGAGACGAGAGCCAGGCUCCCAGCGUCCCCACCUCCUGAAGGAGACACUGCGGGCACAGGCAGCCUUUGCCGGCCUCCAUCCUCCCAGGAAAUAAAGACCCGGAGUCGCUGGGAUCAUGGACGCAGAGCCCCAACCCGUGACCACAGAGCGGUUCACCCCCACAGCCCCACGGGGCCUUGUGGGAGCCCUGCCUCAGGUCCGGUGCGCACGGGAAGCCCUGGGCCACACCCGACUUCCCAGAGCUCGGAAACAUCUGUGCUGCCUCCCGGCUCCUGGUUCCUUGGGCGAGAAGCCUCGCGCAGAACAGCCUGGGACCUGAGGCUCCAGCCUUCCAGGGAUCAGGCGCUGCCCCCUCCCCUCCACGUCCAGCCACCCCGCUGGCCAGCUCGCUGCCUCCCCCAGCUCUUGGGACCCCUCCCGGGAAGUCAGGGCCUUGAUGAGCUCCAGGGUUCUGCCCAGUUUCUCGGGCCUUGGCCCCCAAGCCACUGCUCCUCUUUGCCAGAGCUGGUGCUCUGCGGCCAAGGGACCACUGGACUGCUGCUCACCUCAGGGUCAGGCUGCGUCAGAGGACUGUGGGGAGAACAGCGGCCCCCAAGGGAGAUGCCCCAGGCCAGGCAGCCUCCAGGAUCAGAACCCAGCAGCGGCCUGGCGUGGACUCCACUGGACGUUUUGAGAACCGAGGACUUGGUGACUAGAUACUUCUGUCAGCCUUGCCCUCCCAUAGCUACACUUUACCAAUUUUUGGAAUAAACAAUUGCCACUACCUGAGCACAUCGCAAGUCUCUAUACGGUUUUACAAAUCUGGGGCAUUUAACGUAAUUUUCCAUAUUCUUAACUCAGCGACUGAGAGGUUCAGAGAUUAGAACAAUCUUUGGAAAAUACAUUCCUCAGAGGUCCAGCGUCUGCUCAACUGGGAACAACUUUGAAAAAAGGCAGAAGGGCAGAUGUGAGCUAUGAGGAGAGGGAAAAGACGGGAGGAACGGGAUACGAGGUUGCUCAUGCCAAGAUGUGAAUGGGCCAAAAAGCCCCAGUGCCUCCUAAUUUCUUACGUGCCUGCACUUCCUUCCGGCCAGUGCUCCCCAGGGAGUUUCCUCCAACGCCUCCAUCGGUCCCCGGGCCUCGCAGCAGCCGUGCUGUGUGGUCCGCACACAGGCGAUCUCGGGAAUACUGGGUUGGCACCAGCAGGAGAACUGUUCGUACGGACACCCGAGCCCACCGGAAAGACAUGGGGAAGGGCACCACGGGCCUGCUCUCUGGGCUGGACGCUGGGAUUAACCCUCCAGAGAAGCAGAAGAGGCCAGGGCUGCCCCCACCCCCAGGACGGAGAGCCCGCAGGACGGCAGGGACCUCUCUGGGAGCGGCCUCGGCUUGCGAGCCCCCAGGCGCUCAGUAAUGGAGAGAUUCUGAGUGUAACACUGCCCGGUGACUGGAAGAGAUGUCACCGUCACCAGCUGUGGAUGCUGGGUGGCAGCAGGAGGGAAUGAAGCCCGUGGACAAAAACCAAGAGAGAGACUGACGUGAAGUGAGGCCCUGAGGGUCCUGCUGGGGGCCUGGAUCCACGGCUGGACCCCAGGGUGGAAGGUCGCUCAGUUAACCUGACGUGAGUUGAUUUUCCUUCAUGUACGACCAGAAUGAACCGACGGACUCAGCGGUCUCCGACAUUACUUUUGAGAGCAGAACCACAGAAAGGAGAGCUCGUAACUCAAAAAGGCUCAGAGAAACAGAAGGCACAAAGGAUUGUGGAGAGGGGCUCUUGUUCCCGUGAUACAAGUUGUAUAAUAAAUAGUCACAGCACCUGACUGUCUCUGUCAUUACACGCAUGACGCUCUUCUGAAGGCCUCUAUGUAUUAAUUCACUUAAUCCUCCUAAGAACCCCAUGAGGCCAGUGCUAACAUCAUUAUCCCCACUGAACAGAUGAGGGAAAUCGAGGCGCAGAGAGGUUCAGUAACUUGCCUAAUGCAGCACAGCCAGGAAACAGAAGACAGGGGUGCUGAGUCAAGGUGGCCUGGCUCCCCAGCCGUGACCCUGCUCACACGUCCUGUCCCAGGAAGCGGCUGCUGACGGUGACCGGUGGGCUGGAGGUCCUGCUGUCGAGGUUGGGCUUCCUCUGACCGGUGGCUUCGUCUCCUGGUGGCCGACUCCUUCGGAGAACCAGCCACCUGGAAAACGAAAGGCAGACGGCAAAGCCUGCUGAAUUCAGUGGAUCGUCUGUGCUUAGGAUGGAGAACGAUCAACCGGUUCACUCACUCCUAAAACAUUUUAAGAACAAAGCUUGUGGAACCUGUCAAAAAAGAAAUCACAGACAGAAACUCCACUUGGGUCUACAUUUUGGCCAAUUAACAUGAAAAAAAAUACGAAGAAGGAAGGAGGAGGUGACGAAAGAAGAGAAAGGGACCAGGACUGACGAAGCGGUGCAGAGACGGAGGCAGAGGAGCGCCUGCGCGGAGCAAUUGAGAAAGAAAGGAACGACAGUCCAGGUUAGACACCCGGACAGAGACAGAGAGAGCUGGGGGCACAGAAACACAAACCCCCCCAGGAGUGGGCAGGGCCAGCGGUCAGGGCCCUGAGCAGCCGCGUCUCUGCUGCCCGUCCCUGGAGCGAACGCAGCGCCCGCCACGGAGAGCACCCUGGGAGGAGCCGGCGGCGCAGGAGUGGAAGGUGGACAGCGACCCGGGGCGACGCGGACAGGGAGCACGGCUGUGCGGCUCUUAGCACGUAGAGCCUGGGAUCAGGGGGACUCGGGUCGGAUCUUGGCUUUGUGGCUUCAAAUUUCUGUGAUUUGGGUAAUGUUCCCAUAACUUUUGAUCUUUUUGUGUGUCAGUUUCUUCAUAUGUGAAAGUAAGGCUAUGCUCCAGAUAUUGAGCUGUUUUUCUCUUUUCUCCCCACCACCCUUCCACACUCUGCUUUGUGAGGCUCUGGCUGGCCCUCUGAAGACCACGUUUCAGGUUUGCAAACUGGCUUCCUAGCCCUGCUGACCGUGGGCACCAGGAGGACACUGGAGGGACCAAGAAUGACGAAGGGACUUGUCCGUCCUUGUCCAGGCCCCCGCUCGUCUUCCUGCUCCUGAGAGCCUCAUGUCCCCAAAGCUUUUCCUUCGUAGCCACAGCAACUAAACCCAGUUUGCAGUUUUCCGGCACCCACAGGGCCAGCUUCCCUGAGCCCCCAGAGCCCCCAGCACCAGCGGAGGCCUGAGGCUCCCUGCUCUGCACACCUGGGUUUUGAUGGUCCCAGCCUCCGCCCGCGCCCUCCCAGCCUGGGGACAGCGGCUGCUCCUACAGUUGCUGCCUCCUUGAUAGCUUAGAGGCCCCUUUUUACCCUUCUAGUUACUAGUUAUCAGCUAUGUACCUGGUUGACAACUUUGUUUUCCAUUUUCUCUGUUUAAAGAACUAGUAUGGUUUCUGUCUCCUGCCUGGACCCUAAUUGAAACAGGAUAACAACACCUACUUCAUGGAGGCGUGAGGGUGGACUGAAGAGGGCUCAGAACAUAGCCCGGCUGUGGCAAGGCGCAGGCAGCGUGAGCUCCAUAAUCCACAGGGACAGCAGAACGUUAGACAGCAGUGCCGGCGUGACACAGGUGCCUCCCACGGAGGACCCUGACUUCACCACCUCUGAAGAUGCCGACAGGAACCAGAACCCAUCCAGCAAACCUACCCAGAAAAACAGUAAGAUGGGCAAAGUCACAUUUGCGACUUUUUAUCUUUUUUAAAGAAUUUUAUAGAAUACGGAAGUAGGUUGAGUAACGCUUGCAGUUUAUUUCCAAAAAUCAGGCUAAUGCAGGGCACCUGCGUCACAUGAGCCAACGUGUGUCCUUGGGCUCCCACGACUGACACACCGGAGAGUCCGAGCGCCGAGCAGCAUCUCCACCCCUGGAGCGGGCGGGACAAAGCUGGGCGCUCUGCUUCAAAUCAGCCCUUUUUUACAAGGCACAGAAAUUAAUUCUUGAGAGGACAGUAACUCCUGGCGGGAAGAAAAUUAUUGACGUUUUGUGUGUAUGUCUGUGUGUGUAUUUAUGGAAGUAAUAUUCAGAAAUGGAAAAAACCCAUAAGUUACAAGGUUAAAUUAAUCCUAGGAGAUUGUCUUAAUUUCUGUAAUUAUCUUACCACUACCUUAGUAAAAAAAAAAUCUCAUGAAGCAAAUACAAAAUGUUAAUAUUGUCGGAUCUAAGUGAGAUAUUUUGUUAUUAACAAUUUUGUUUAGAUGCCUAAAAGCGAUAGUAUGACUAAAUAAAAGAUAGCUUCUCAAGAAGAACAUAAAUAACUUUCCUCAGCUUGAUCUCUAAGAUAAAUCAGAGGGAUGGUGACCUGGGUGCACCUGAGUGGCGUCCUGACGAUGAUUUUCCAGUUAGGUCGGCCCUGACCACAGAUGAUCCUCCACUUGGCUUGGAAACAAGCUCAAUCUAUCUGUGCCAGUAAAACUCAGAAGUCCAGGCACACAUUGCAGGGAAAGCCUAGCUCAACCUUGAAGACCAGGAUAAACAUUCGCUGGCUUAUGGAGAAGGCUGAUUUGUCCCCGUGGGCAGCUGGCUCUUUAAACGAUAAAGUGGCAUGCCAGCUUACCCUUGAAAAGGGUCAAGCAUGGCGAUGGAUCCCGGUGUCAAAAGAAGCACCAGCUGUGGGAUGGGGAUGAUUGAGAAGACUGAGGGUAUCCAGAGCUGGUGAGAGGUGGGGAAACAGGCCCACACGUGCAUUUCUGGCAGGAGGGUAAAUUGGUGCAAUCUUCCUGGGGGAACAUUCGGCAGCAUGCAGAAAAGCCUUUUCUAAAAGCCUUUGACUUAGGAGUCCCACUCCUAGAAAUCUGCCCUACGUAAAGAUUGGGUAAAUGUGUUAGGAUGAACACACAGGAUGUGAACUACUGCAGAGUUUAUAGUGCUGAUCAAUUUGAAAUAACCUGAACAUUUAUCACUAGGAAUUUGGUUAAAUAACUAUGGCGUAUCGACACAGUGAAAACCACAAGGUCACUAACCAGAACGAUAUGGGUCUACAUUUAUAGAUAUGGAAAGACAGACGUUUAUAUGUUGCUAAGGGGGAAAAAACCACGUGUCCUCUGAUUCUAUUGGGGACAUGUGUGUGUGUGCGUGCGUGUGUGUGCAUGCACACAGGAAAAAGUGUGACCAGUGUAAUGUUUACAGCAAUUAUUGCUGAGUAGAAUCAACUUAAUUUUAAUUUUAUAUUUCUCUGAACGUUCUGAAUUUUUCAGGAAUAUGUAAGUAUUAUUGUCUUAAUUAGAAAAAAAUUUGCAUAAACAAAAAUUCUCCAAGAACUGGCCAGUGAUGUCCGCUUGUCCUCUUCCUUUAUGCUGAGCCCUCUAGUUACUUCUGACACAGCUGCUUUCCUCACGACGUCUGCUCAUCGGUCCCCUACCGCAGGGUUCUCAGAGGCUGAUGUGUUCAGGCAUUUGCACUUUGUUGAGGCUCUUAGCAUACAUAUAUGUGUGUUUCUUUAAAGGAGAAAUGACAAAAGAGAGAUACAAGAUUUGUCGUCUGUUGUAACUGUCUACACUUAACAAAUUAACCCUUUUAUCGUCAGGAAGGACAUUCCACGCAAUUCUACGUAAGUUUCAUUUGCAGCAGCGGACCACAGACUGCGGUGACGGCCACAUAAAGCCGUGUUCUUCCUCCCCGGCCCCAUGAGUGUCUCCAGGCCCGGCUGUAUGCUCCUCUGGAGAUGAUGUAAGAGAUCAAAAUACCCCAAAUUGAAAUCUGAGGCCCUUGGGAAUGUGUGCCUGGAGUCACGUGACCCUCCUGACAUCCUCGUCACAGCUCUGCCCCUGUCCCAUGCUGGACGGUCAGGCGAUGGCAGUCUCUCCUCUACCCAGCCCCGCUGUCCCUCCUUCGGCUUUUCCUGGACCGGGCGCUGAGUCUGGGCCUACAGCUCCCUACAUGCACUCUAGGUGCUGCUGGGCUAUUUCCGCCCCACGGCCUUCACGCCGGAGAGCCCACCAGCCCAGCCGCCUGCUGCAGGACGCUGAGGCCAACACCACCCCAUGCGCUGAGGUUUCUCUGCUGCCUGCAGAACGAAACUCUGGAAACAGUGACUCAGGAGCCGUGUCAAGACAGCAGCAUCCAAGAUGGGGAACCACAGGCCAGGCUGGACCAGGAACCUUCGACAGCCACCCAUGUUCAGGAAAC
rnacentral:lncRNA from 1 species